AGAGUUUGAUCAUGGCUCAGGACGAACGCUGGCGGCGUGCUUAACACAUGCAAGUCGCGCGAUUCUCGAAGUUCGGGGUUGGGAGUUCGAACCUCGAACUUCGAACCUCGAACUUCGAGAAUAGCGGCGGACGGGUGAGUAACACGUGGAUAACCUACCCAUUAGACCGGGAUAACACCGGGAAACUGGUGCUAAUACCGGAUAAGCUCUUUAGAGUAAAAGCCUUAAAGAGGAAAGGGGAAACUCACUAAUGGAUGGGUCCGCGUCCUAUUAGCUAGUUGGUAGGGUAACGGCCUACCAAGGCGACGAUGGGUAGCCGGCCUGAGAGGGUGACCGGCCACACUGGGACUGAGACACGGCCCAGACUCCUACGGGAGGCAGCAGUGGGGAAUAUUCCGCAAUGGGGGAAACCCUGACGGAGCAAUGCCGCGUGAGUGAAGAAGGCCUUUGGGUCGUAAAACUCUGUCUUGAGGGACGAAAAAAAUGACGGUACCUCAAAAGAAAGCCCCGGCUAACUACGUGCCAGCAGCCGCGGUAAAACGUAGGGGGCGAGCGUUGUCCGGAAUUACUGGGCGUAAAGGGCGUGUAGGCGGCCUGUGUAGCCAAGUGGUGAAAACCCGGGGCUUAACUUCGGGAUGGCCCUUGAAACCAACAGGCUUGAGGACAGGAGAGGGGAGUGGAAUUUCCGGUGUAGCGGUGAAAUGCGUAGAUACCGGA
rnacentral:rRNA from 1 species